UACGGAGGGUGCAAGCGUUAAUCGGAAUUACUGGGCGUAAAGCGUGCGUAGGUGGUUUGUUAAGUCCGUUGUGAAAGCCCCGAGCUCAACUUGGGAAUUGCAGUGGAUACUGGCAAGCUGGAGUGCGGUAGAGGAAGGUGGAAUUCCCGGUGUAGCGGUGAAAUGCGUAGAUAUCAGGAGGAACACCUGUGGUGUAGACAGCUUACUGGACCACUUCUGGCGCUGAGACACGAAAGCGUGGGUAGCAAACAGG
rnacentral:rRNA from 1 species